UAUUCCAUCGAGCCCGGGACCCCAGCUAGGUGCUCACCGCAGUGAUACGCCCUUGUCGUUAUCACCGGGUGAAAAUCAGCUAGGGUCCCGUGGAUCGAA
rnacentral:pre_miRNA from 1 species